GUGCUUUGGAGGAGCAAUGAAAAGCUUCAGCUGUGCUGUAAGAGGCAUUUCUACCUUCCCAGGAGUGCCCAGGCUUGACCCCAUUUAGCUAGUGAGAUCAAUUUAGGUCAUAGAGCGAGGUCAGCCUCUAUAUGCUGUUCUUGGAGACUUUAAAAAUGACUACACGGAGUUGGUUAGCCAUUACGUUUGUCUCAGAUCAUCUCUCACCUCUUUCUGCCAGGGUAAGAUUUCUCUCUGGUAAGCAAUGAAAAUUGUGACUCAGAACCUUCACAAAUGGGAAGUGGAAACUCCUGAUUUCUAAUCAAGAUAAUGUUUGUGCAAACAAAUGGAUAUUUGCAGUGCUUAUCUACAGUCUGAACAGCAGUUCCAGUAUCUGGAUAUACCCAGUAACACCGCACCAUACCAAGAACUUUGUAUGAAGAAACCUGGGGCAAACCUGCACAUGACAUGGAUAAUCUUUUGCUGUUGAAGUCAGUGUAUCUAUUUCAGUUUGCACCAGCUGAGUAUGUGACUCUUCUCAGCUCAUGAGCUGUAACAAAGCUGAAAAGAUGGAUAGAAAUAGCAAGAAAAGAUUUGUCAUGUUUGGGUAGACAUUACGUAGGGAGGUGUGUGUAUAUAUAUGGGGAGAGAGAAUAUAUAAAGACAAGGACUUGGGCAUACUUCCCAUAUGUUUCAAAUCCUUUGAAAAUGUAAAAUCUUAAGGGAUAAAAGUUCACCUAUUUGACAAUGAGCUCUGAUUUUUGUUUUCCUUUUUUCUUUAUUUUCCAAUCACGUUGGUCCAUGAUACGUACUAAAAUAUCUUCCCAUUUCGCUGUUUUGUGGCACCUGGUAUGCUUGAGACUUUCAGCUUACUCAAGGCAAUAACAUUAUCUAUUGCAUAUUUUGUGGUUUUGUUCCAAAAAUAUUGGUGGGGGAAAAAAAUCUGUAGCCAAAAUAGAAUAUUAUAAUGUAAUCAGAUUAUUUUUAACUGCUAUCUAUAUUGUUAAAAGUAAGAUGGACUCCAUAUAAAUAUCAUAUAAAUAAAUAUAAAUAAUAACAACAUAAAACACCUGUCAAGGUACGCUGAGUUAUGUCUAUUUAGUUUCAAAACAGUCAUUAAGGACUUUGAUGCCUAUUUUUUAGAGCCUUUAAAACUUUCUGAAUAUUAUUUCAUUAUUAAUCUGAAUUGUUUAGCUUUUCAGCAGCACAAAGGUGUGUAUAUUAUCCGUUUUAUUUUUGAAUUAGAAAUGCUUUUCCACUUGUAAUUUAUAUGGAAAAGACUAGUUGCAUCAAAGAAAUCAGUUAUGCUGUAAUUAAACUAAUAUUUUCUCCCUUCUUUCUUUUCUAUCUUUAGUACAUCA